rnacentral:tRNA from 1 species
GUUUUAAUAAUUUAAUAAAAAUAUUGAUUUUGUAAAUCAAAAAUAAGUCCUUCUUUUAAAACU